rnacentral:snRNA from 1 species
GAUUGGCGGGAUCCCUCGCGGGUGCACCGC